rnacentral:rRNA from 1 species
UACAGAGGGGGCAAGCGUUAUUCGGAAUUAUUGGGCGUAAAGGGCGCGUAGGCGGUUCUUUAAGUGAGAUGUGCAAUCCCCGGGCUUAACCUGGGAACUGCAUCUCAUACUGGAGAGCUAGAGUGCUGGAGAGGGUGGUAGAAUUCCACGUGUAGCGGUGAAAUGCGUGGAGAUGUGGAGGAAUACCAGUGGAGAAGGCGGCCACCUGGACAGUAACUGACGCUGAGGCGCGAAAGUGUGGGUAGCAAACAGG